ACGCGAAAGCGUAGCUAAUACCGCAUACGACCUACGGGUGAAAGUGGGGGAUCGCAAGACCUCACGUCAUAGGAGCGGCCGAUGGCGGAUUAGCUAGUUGGUGAGGUAAAGGCUUACCAAGGCGACGAUCCGUAGCUGGUCUGAGAGGACGACCAGCCACACUGGGACUGAGACACGGCCCAGACUCCUACGGGAGGCAGCAGUGGGGAAUCUUGGACAACGGGCGAAAGCCUGAUCCAGCAAUGCCGCGUGUGGGAUGAAGGCCUUCGGGUUGUAAACCACUUUUUGGCGGGGGAAAAAUGCCGGGUGCUAAUACCAUCCGGUGAUGACGGUACCCGCAGAAUAAGCACCGGCUAACUACGUGCCAGCAGCCGCGGUAAUACGUAGGGUGCGAGCGUUAAUCGGAAUUACUGGGGCGUAAAGCGUGCGCAGGCGGUUUGGUAAGACAGAUGUGAAAAUUCCCGGGCUUAACCCUGGGAACUGCAUUUUGUGACUGCCAGGCUAGAGUGCGGCAGAGGGGGAGUGGAAUUCCCGCGUGUAGCAGUGAAAUGCGUAGAUAUGCGGAGGAACACCGAUGGGCGAAAGCAACUCCCUGGGCCUGCACUGACGCUCAUGCACGAAAGCGUGGGGAGCAAACAGGAUUAGAUACCCCUGGUAGUCCACGCCCUAAACGAUGCCGACCUUAGUUUUGUUGGACGGGAUAACUGUUCAGUAACGUAGCUAACGCGUGAAGUCGACGCCCUUGGGGGAGUACGGCCGCAAGGU
rnacentral:rRNA from 1 species